ACUCCCAUAGUGACCCUCUCUGGCCACAUGGAGGCAGUUUCCUCAGUUCUGUGGUCAGAUGCUGAAGAAAUCUGCAGUGCAUCUUGGGACCAUACAAUUAGAGUGUGGGAUGUUGAGUCUGGCAGUCUUAAGUCAACUUUGGUAAGACAAAUUCAGUGUUCUUUUAAGUGAUAAACUUCUAGAGAUGGUUUUUAGUCUACCAUGGUUAAUGUUCUUUCCUUUUCUUUUUCAGACAGGAAAUAAAGUGUUUAAUUGUAUUUCCUAUUCUCCACUUUGUAAACGUUUAGCAUCUGGAAGCACAGAUAGGCAUAUCAGACUGUGGGAUCCCCGAACUAAAGAUGGUUCUUUGGUGUCGCUGUCCCUAACGUCACAUACUGGUUGGGUGACAUCAGUAAAAUGGUCUCCUACCCAUGAACAGCAGCUGAUUUCAGGAUCUUUAGAUAACAUUGUUAAGCUGUGGGAUACAAGAAGGUAAAUUCUAUUUAUGAUCU
rnacentral:ncRNA from 2 species